AGUGAACGCUGGCGGUAGGCCUAACACAUGCAAGUCGAACGGCAGCACAGUAAGAGCCUGCUCUUACGGGUAGCGAGUGGCGGACGGGUGAGGAAUACAUCGGAAUCUACUUUUUCGUGGGGGAUAACGUAGGGAAACUUACGCUAAUACCGCAUACGACCUACGGGUGAAAGCAGGGGAUCUUCGGACCUUGCGCGAUUGAAUGAGCCGAUGUCGGAUUAGCUAGUUGGCGGGGUAAAGGCCCACCAAGGCGACGAUCCGUAGCUGGUCUGAGAGGAUGAUCAGCCACACUGGAACUGAGACACGGUCCAGACUCCUACGGGAGGCAGCAGUGGGGAAUAUUGGACAAUGGGCGCAAGCCUGAUCCAGCCAUACCGCGUGGGUGAAGAAGGCCUUCGGGUUGUAAAGCCCUUUUGUUGGGAAAGAAAAGCAGCAGGUUAAUACCCCGCUGUUCUGACGGUACCCAAAGAAUAAGCACCGGCUAACUUCGUG
rnacentral:rRNA from 1 species